rnacentral:misc_RNA from 1 species
AACAAGGCGUACCUGCGGACCUGCGGAAGGAUCAUUACACAAUAAACAUAUGAAGGCUGCACCGCCAACAGGCGGCAAGGCUGGAGUAUUUUAUUACCCUUGUCUUUUGCGCACUUGUUGUUUCCUGGGCGGGUUCGCCCGCCUCCAGGACCACAUGAUAAACCUUUUUUAUGCAGUUGCAAUCAGCGUCAGUACAACAAAUGUAAAUCAUUUACAACUUUUAACAACGGAUCUCAGAUC